AGGUGGUACACCCUUUCCUCUCUGCCCCAUAGGGUGUAGCUCUAACUACCCUCUAGGGAAGAGAAGGUUGGGUGAACAGCCU
ensembl:miRNA